rnacentral:rRNA from 1 species
UACGUAGGGUGCAAGCGUUAAUCGGAAUUACUGGGCGUAAAGCGUGCGCAGGCGGUUGUGCAAGACAGAUGUGAAAUCCCCGGGCUUAACCUGGGAACUGCAUUUGUGACUGCACGGCUAGAGUGUGUCAGAGGGGGGUAGAAUUCCACGUGUAGCAGUGAAAUGCGUAGAUAUCGAUAGGAACACUCGUGGCGAAAGGCGAGCUACUGGACAACAUCUGACGCUGAGGCUCGAAGGCUAGGGGAGCAAAAGGG